GGGGUGGGGAGCCCCAACAGGCCAUCAGAACACUGCAAAGGGAAUAACAAUAACUUCGGACAACAGCUUCCCCUGCGGGCACCAGGUUCAAGGAUGACGUGACCCCGCGCAGAGCUGCUCUAAUGAAGCAGGACCACGAUUGGCACAGCGCGUCCUUCGGAGCCAGACGUCGUGACCAACUUCAGGUAGAUGCCCAACGAUGCCCUGGCGGCCUCCAGCAUGUCGUCAUCUUGUUCUAUGAAGACCCUGGAGAUCCAUUCACAUGGAUUGUGUGACUGAAGGGGGGGCUGAAGGUGAGGCUUUAAGAAGAAAAGGCCUCGCAGUAAAGAAUCCGCCACCAGAUGGCCUAAGGGGACACCCAGCACAAGCAUAAAAUUUGCCUCCAGUCUCUCUUACUGUUGAAAUGCUAUAAAUGAUUUGAAGAGUGUAUUCCAUUCCUAAUAAAGGUGCAUGUCUUAAU